UACGAAGGGGGCUAGCGUUGCUCGGAAUUACUGGGCGUAAAGCGCACGUAGGCGGCUUUCUAAGUCGGGGGUGAAAUCCUGGAGCUCAACUCCAGAACUGCCUUUGAUACUGGGAAGCUCGAGUCCGGAAGAGGUGAGUGGAACUGCGAGUGUAGAGGUGAAAUUCGUAGAUAUUCGCAAGAACACCAGUGGCGAAGGCGGCUCACUGGUCCGGUACUGACGCUGAGGUGCGAAAGCGUGGGGAGCAAACAGG
rnacentral:rRNA from 1 species